GCGGAGGCCGUUGACCGUCUGGAGGAUGCCCUUCGGGGAGGCAUCAGGUGGAGAUCAGGCAGGAAACCGGAGGAGAAGAUGUCAGAGAAGAUGACCGGAGGUGGUCCCGUUGAGUGCUCCUUUAAGAACAAGGGUACUGCGAAGACACAGCCCUUCUUCUAGUGCCAAUCCUGUUGGUGCAAAAAUCCACCGACGUCGAAGAAGCUGGAGUCGAGGGAGUCAUGGUCGCCGCCGGGACCUGCAAAGAAAGUCUAUACCGGAGUUGGGGGUGCUCCGAUAAGACCCUCC
rnacentral:lncRNA from 1 species